rnacentral:rRNA from 1 species
UACGUAGGGUCCGAGCGUUGUCCGGAAUUAUUGGGCGUAAAGGGCUCGUAGGCGGUUUGUCACGUCGGGAGUGAAAACUUGGGGCUUAACCCCAUUCGUGCUUCCGAUACGGGCAGACUAGAGGCAGGCAGGGGAGAACGGAAUUCCUGGUGUAGCGGUGGAAUGCGCAGAUAUCAGGAGGAACACCGGUGGCGAAGGCGGUUCUCUGGGCCUGUUCUGACGCUGAGGAGCGAAAGCAUGGGGAGCGAACAGG